CCUACGGGUGGCAGCAGUGAGGAAUAUUGGUCAAUGGGCGCGAGCCUGAACCAGCCAAGUCGCGUGAGGGAGGACGGCCCUACGGGUUGUAAACCUCUUUUGCCGGGGAGCAACGGGCGCCACGUGUGGCGUCACCGAGAGUACCCGGAGAAAAAGCAUCGGCUAACUCCGUGCCAGCAGCCGCGGUAAUACGGAGGAGGGGAGCGUUAUCUGGAUUUAUUGGGUUUAAAGGGUGCGUAGGCGGAUCGUUAAGUCAGUGGUCAAAUUGAGGGGCUCAACCCCUUGCCGCAUUUGAAACUGGCAUUCUUGAGUGGUAGAGAGGGGUGCGGAAUGCGUGGGGUAGCGGUGAAAUGCGUAGAUAUCGCGAAGAACCCCGAUUGCGAAGGCGGCAUCCCGGCUUACGACUGACGCUGAGGCGCGAAAGCGUGGGGAUCGAACAGGAUUAGAUACCCCUGUAGUC
rnacentral:rRNA from 1 species